AUACGUAGGGAGCAAGCGUUGUCCGGAAUUACUGGGCGUAAAGGGCGCGCAGGCGGCCAUGUAAGUCAGAUGUGAAAACCCGGGGCUCAACCCCGGUCCGGCAUUUGAAACUAAAUAACUUGAGUAUGGUAGAGGUAAGCGGAAUUCCUAGUGUAGCGGUGAAAUGCGUAGAUAUUAGGAGGAACACCAGUGGCGAAGGCGGCUUACUGGGCCAUAACUGACACUGAGGCUCGAAAGCGUGGGGAGCAAACAGGAUUAGAUACCCUGGUAGUCCACGCCGUAAACGAUGAGUGCUAGGUGUUGGGGGUUUAGAUACCCUCGGUGCUGUAGUUAACGCAAUAAGCACUCCGCCUGGGGAGUACGAUCGCAAGAUUGAA
rnacentral:rRNA from 1 species